AAAAAAAGAGAUGAAAAAGAAAAGGACAAAAGAGAUUAACACCCAAAUUGGAUCAAAGGUUUGAUCAAGUCAUCAUCAAAACCAAUCAUCCAUUUUGGUGGAUUAGGGUUUUCACCCCAUUAACAUCCAAGAUCAAUUGAGUUUGAUAAUACAUAUGAUCAAAACAACCAUGAUCCAAGGUCAACAUAAGUCAGCAAAGGUCAAACAAAUAAAAAAUUCAAUAAAAUAAAAUAAAAAAGCAUCAAAAACAUUUUUAAAAGGGAAAUAAAAGAC
rnacentral:lncRNA from 1 species